UAGGGAAUCUUCCGCAAUGGACGCAAGUCUGACGGAGCAACGCCGCGUGAGUGAAGAAGGUUUUCGGAUCGUAAAGCUCUGUUGUUAAGGAAGAACGAGUGUGAGAAUGGAAAGUUCAUGCUGUGACGGUACUUAACCAGAAAGGGACGGCUAACUACGUGCCAGCAGCCGCGGUAAUACGUAGGUCCCGAGCGUUGUCCGGAUUUAUUGGGCGUAAAGCGAGCGCAGGCGGUUAGAUAAGUCUGAAGUUAAAGGCAGUGGCUCAACCAUUGUAGGCUUUGGAAACUGUUUAACUUGAGUGCAGAAGGGGAGAGUGGAAUUCCAUGUGUAGCGGUGAAAUGCGUAGAUAUAUGGAGGAACACCGGUGGCGAAAGCGGCUCUCUGGUCUGUAACUGACGCUGAGGCUCGAAAGCGUGGGGAGCGAACAGG
rnacentral:rRNA from 1 species